rnacentral:lncRNA from 1 species
CCGUGAUGGACCAGGGCACCAGCUUGUCCUAUGAUGCCAUCAUCAGUGGGGACCUGCACGCCCCUGACGGGCUGGCGGUAGACUGGAUCCAUGGCAACAUCUACUGGACGGAUUCAGUUCCGGGCACUGUUUCCGUGGCUGACACCAAGGGUGUCAGGAGGAGAACUCUGUUCCGAGAGAAAGGGUCCAGACCCAGAGCCAUCGUAGUGGACCCUGUGCAUGGGUGAGUGUCCUCAGCUGAACAAGAGGAUGGCCCAAGGUGGGGUCCAGCCAGAGCUGGCCUCAGGGGAAUGUGAAAUGGUCCCCCAAGCUGCAGAGAUGACAGUGAAGUAGAGGCCGGGGGUGUCAGUGAAAGACCAAGGAAGCAGGGGCCUCCAACCUGAAAUCCCAGCCCUGAGGAGGCUGAGUUACAGGCUAGCUCAGGUUACAAAGAGAACUCCUAUCUCAAAAAAAUAAAU